AUUGCCAAAAGCAGGCAUUAAUAGAUGUAAUGCAAAAAUAGUGUCUUGUGUUCAAAAAAGGUUGGGAAAUACUGAGUGAAAGAAUAGUGCACAAACCAUAGGCACACAGCUCGAGGAAUUAUCAGGAACUGAACAUGUCCACGUGUGCCCGACCCUGCUCUCCAGCAUACCCUCCCAGCCUCAACCCAUCAUCUGGAUUCCGAGGUUCUUGGCUCCAGUGAGGACGUUAUUGCUGAGAAUUAGAUGCUGAAGUUGGCACCAUCAAAUAACUAGUCCUGGAUGCCUGUCACUAAUAGCAGCCAUCUCACUGCCUCAGGAACUCAAGUUUACCAUGGUCACCACAGCCUCGGAGAAUACUCACCUCAUCCUUUUUGUGCAUCACUAGCUCUCAAUUCUAAAAAAGGAAAGAACAUCUGAUUGGCAAAGCCUAGGUGAUACAAAUACCUGGAGUUCUCAUCUUUUCUAAUGGGAAGUAACUCUGCUUGCUGUUAAGACUCACAGAGUAAAUAAUCACCAGCUCCUGGAGGGGCUCAUGGGUAGGUAUGGAGAGAGAUGAGCAAUGGUCUACACAGAUGACAGAACAUAUCUGCACCCCUAAGUGACUUUGGAGUAAACCAGAGUAAAAGCAACCAAAACAGAGUCCAAGUCAGGGUCCUUCCAUCCUCAAACCAGGCUCCAGUGG
rnacentral:lncRNA from 1 species